rnacentral:tRNA from 1 species
GGGGAGAUGGCUCAGUGGUUAGAGCACUGGCUGCUCUUCCAGAGGACCUGGGUUCAAUUCCCAGCAACCACA